CUCCGUCUGUCUCUCUCUCCCCCACACACUGACUCGGCUACUAACAGUACAGUACUCAAUCACUGACUCGGCUACUAACAGUACAGUACUGAAUCACUGACACAGCCAUUAACAGUACGGUACUGAAUUACUCUGCUACUAACAGUGCAGUGCUGAAUUACUGACUCAUCUACUAACAGUACAGUACUGAAUCACUGUGACUCAGCUACUAACAGUACAGUACUGAAACAUGGACACAGCUACUAACAGUACAGUACUGAAUCACUGACUCAGCUACUAACAGUACAGUACUGAAUCACUGACACAGCCAUUAACAGUACGGUACUGAAUUACUCUGCUACUAACAGUGCAGUGCUGAAUUACUGACUCACCUACUAACAGUACAGUACUGAAUCACUGACUCAGCUACUAACAGUACAGUACUGAAACACUGACUCAGCUACUAACAGUACAGUACUGAAACACGGACACAGCUACUAACAGUACAGUACUCAAUCACUGACUCAGCUACUAACAGUACAGUACUGAAUCACUGACACAGCCAUUAACAGUACGGUACUGAAUUACUCUGCUACUAACAGUGCAGUGCUGAAUUACUGACUCAGCUACUAACAGUACAGUACUGAAUCACUGACACAGCCAAUAACAGUACGGUACUGAAUUACUCUGCUACUAACAGUACAGUACUGAAUCACUGACACAGCCAUUAACAGUACGGUACUGAAUUACUCUGCUACUAACAGUGCAGUGCUGAAUUACUGACUCAUCUACUAACAGUACAGUACUGAAUCACUGACUCAGCUACUAACAGUACAGUACUGAAACACUGACUCAGCUACUAACAGUACAGUACUGAAACACGGACACAGCUACUAACAGUACAGUACUCAAUCACUGACUCAGCUACUAACAGUACAGUACUGAAUCACUGACACAGCCAAUAACAGUACGGUACUGAAUUACUCUGUUACUAACAGUGCAGUGCUGAAUUACUGACUCAUCUACUAACAGUACAGUACUGAAUCACUGACUCAGCUACUAACAGUACAGUACUGAAACACUGACUCAGCUACUAACAGUACAGUACUGAAUUACUGACUCAUCUACUAACAAUACAGUACUGAAUCACUGACUCAGCUACUAACAGUACAGUACUGAAACACGGACACAGCUACUAACAGUACAGUACUCAAUCACUGACUCAGCUACUAACAGUACAGUACUGAAUCACUGACACAGCCAUUAACAGUACGGUACUGAAUUACUCUGCUACUAACAGUGCAGUGCUGAAUUACUGACUCAUCUAAUAACAGUACAGUACUGAAUCACUGACUUAGCUACUAACAGUACAGUACUGAAUCACUGACUCGGCUACUAACAGUACAGUACUCAAUCACUGACUCAGCUACUAACAGUACAGUACUGAAUCAUUGACACAGCCAUUAACAGUACGGUACUGAAUUACUCUGCUACUAACAGUGCAGUGCUGAAUUACUGACUCAGCUACUAACAGUACAGUACUGAAUCACUGACUCAGCUACUAACAGUACAGUACUGAAACAUGGACACAGCUACUAACAGUACAGUACUCAAUCACUGACUCAGCUACUAACAGUACAGUACUGAAUCACUGACACAGCCAUUAACAGUACGGUACUGAAUUACUCUGCUACUAACAGUGCAGUGCUGAAUUACUGACUCAUCUACUAACAGUACAGUACUGAAUCACUGACUCAGCUACUAACAGUACAGUACUGAAACACUGACUCAGCUACUAACAGUACAGUACUGAAACACAGACACAGCUACUAACAGUACAGUACUCAAUCACUGACUCAGCUACUAACAGUACAGUACUGAAUCACUGACACAGCCAUUAACAGUACGGUACUGAAUUACUCUGCUACUAACAGUGCAGUGCUGAAUUACUGACUCAUCUAAUAACAGUACAGUACUGAAUCACUGACUCAGCUACUAACAGUACAGUACUGAAACACUGACUCAGCUACUAACAGUACAGUACUGAAUUACUGACUCAUCUACUAACAGUACAGUACUGAAUCACUGACUCAGCUACUAACAGUACAGUACUGAGACACGGACACAGCUACUAACAGUACAGUACUCAAUCACUGACUCAGCUACUAACAGUACAGUACUGAAUCACUGACACAGCCAUUAACAGUACGGUACUGAAUUACUCUGCUACUAACAGUGCAGUGCUGAAUUACUGACUCAUCUAAUAACAGUAUAGUACUGAAUCACUGACUCAGCUACUAACAGUACAGUACUGAAUUACUGACUCAUCUACUAAUAGUACAGUACUGAAUCACUGACUCAGCUACUAACAGUACAGUACUGAAACACGGACACAGCUACUAACAGUACAGUACUCAAUCACUGACUCAGCUACUAACAGUACAGUACUGAAUCACUGACACAGCCAUUAACAGUACGGUACUGAAUUACUCUGCUACUAACAGUGCAGUGCUGAAACACUGACUCAGCUACUAACAGUACAGUACUGAAUCACUGACUCAGCUACUAACAGUACAGUACUGAAACACAGACACAGCUACUAACAGUACAGUACUCAAUCACUGACUCAGCUACUAACAGUACAGUACUGAAUCACUGACACAGCCAUUAACAGUACGGUACUGAAUUACUCUGCUACUAACAGUGCAGUGCUGAAUUACUGACUCAUCUACUAACAGUACAGUACUGAAUCACUGUGACUCAGCUACUAACAGUACAGUACUGAAUUACUGACACAGCUAUUAACAGUACAGUACUGAAUUACUGACACAGCUGUUGACAGUACAGUACUGAAUUACUGACUCAGCUCCUAACAGUACAGCACUGAAUCACAGACUCAAUUACAGACAGUGCAGUACUGAAUUAUUUAACAGUACAGAAAUGAAUUACUGACACAGCUGCUGACAGUACAGUACUGAAUUACUGACUCAGCUACAAAUGGUGCAGCACUAAAUUACUAACAAAUCUGUUAACAGUACAGUACUGAAAUACUGACUCAGCUACUAACAGUACAGUACUGAAUUACUGAUAGUUACUAACAGUACAGUACUGAAUGACUGAGUCACUAACAGUACACUACUGAAUUACUGAUACAGCUGAUGAUAAUAUAGUAGUAUAGUAAUUUCUGACACUGCUACUGACAAUAUACCAUUGAAUUACUGACACAGUUACUGAAAGUAUAGUAGUGAAUUACUGACAGUUACUAAAAUGACAGUCCUGAAUUACUGACACAGUUACUGACAGUAUAGUAGUGAAUUAUUGACACAGCUACUGACAGUAUAGUACUGAAUCACUGACACAGUUACGGACAGUAUAGUAGUGAAUUACGGACAUUUGUUAACAUUACAGUACUGAAUUACUGACACAGUUACUGACAGUAUAGUAGUGAAUUACUGACACUGCUACUGACAGUAUAGUACUGAAUUACUGACACAGUUACUGAACGUAUAGUAGUGAAUUACUCACAGUUGCUAACAUAACAGUACUGUAUUACUUACACAGUUACUGACAGUAUAGUAGCAAAUUACUGACACCGCUACUGACAGCAUACUAUUGAAUUACUGACACAGCUACUAACAGCACAAUCUGAUUUAAUGACACAGAUUUGACAUUUUCAUAACAGCACAGAUUCUGAUUUUGUGUGCAUCAUUUCUGAUGCGAGCACAGCGUUUACACAGAUCGACUUUCCUUUACCCGGAAUGCUGUGCUCACAUCCUAACAGUAAAUAUGAGGUUUCCUUUCACUGGAAAUGUUUACUGAUUCGAAAUGAGCCGUAUUUUAAUCAGUAUAUCUUGCCGGUAAUGGAUAAUGAUAUGGGUCCAACAUCUAGAAUGUUUGCCAACAAUGAGUGAGAUGGAUGUUCACAAUAGGGCCCUGCGUUGCUAUGGAGACCACAACAAACACCUUUCUGGCAUUGGGCUCAGCAGCACGCUGUCCAGCUGACCGGAGGCUGAGGCUGUUUUAGAAUAGAAAUGCUGGAACAGAGCCUGGGCAUACAAUGCUGGUGGGCCUAGAUGUGAAAGGGAUCUACAUUUUGUGUGCAUUAGUGUGCUUUGUUUGUGUUUCACUGGAAUGUAGUUUCAGAAAUGCCUAUUUCCUCUGGUGCUGCUGGGAGGUGGAGUGCUGAGAACAAGACUGAGGGCUCUUAUUUAAAGAUGUAUUUAGGAACCCUCCCUCAGGAGAAGAGGAUGCUCCUGGAGACCACUUUGGAGGCAGAAUGUAUUUCUGGUGCAGCUAGAGAGAAAGAAGACGUACCAUCAGAAGGCAGGCGUCCAGAAGGAGAAACAAAUGGAGCAGAGACGGCCAAGUGACGGAGAUGCCGACGGUGGACAGCUUGGACAAAUGCCCCCAAAGUCGUCCACAUGCACUGUGCUGUAAAACACACAAACAAGUAGAGACCACAUCGUCUUCUUUGAUAACGGGGUUGAAAUCUUAAAUAUCUGCCUUUUAUUUUAUUUCUUUAAAGGCUAAUGAGCUUUACAGGCCUCAUAUCAUAGGUGGUUGGUUAGUGUAGUGGUUAACACCUGCCUUGUAGACUGGGGUUCAAUCCCCCACCUGGGCAAACACCCUACACUAUACCAAUAAGAGUCCUUGGGCAAGACUCCCAACACCACCUUCGCCUACCUGUGUAAAAUGAUCAAAUUGUAAGUCGCUCUGGAUAAGAGCGUCAGCUGAAUGCCAUAAAUGUAAAUAUCACCGAAGACUGAACUUUCCUCGUCUUUUUUUCCCCAGUUGUCCCCAGUUAGCAAAAUUUGUCUGGCUCACUUGUGGGCCACAUCCUUGGUUUGUUUUGGCCCAGUGGACGGCUGGGUCCUCGGCCCAGAUCUGGCCCACACACUGUAAAGUGAGUAGAACUAAAGGAUGUGGCACAAAUCUGGUCCCAUUCUGGCCCAGCUACAUUGUUGGUCCAUAAUAUUCACGCCAGAAUUGUCACAAAUGUAGACAUGAGGUAUGAAGCAGUCCAGGAUCUGGCCUGCAUGCCUAACAUCUACCCGGUUAGCGAGCCAGCACUCACACAGGAAAGCCUGUUAAAUGUUCUAGCAGUUUAGCCCCGCCCAUUCAUGCCCAAGUUAUAAGGAAUGUUUCAGCUUGGGCUGCUUUCUGAAGGAGGCACAAUACAGGACAGCCAAUCGGAAGUGAGCUCAUUUACAUACGUAAGUCUUAAAGGCAACAGCCUGUUCAAAUCUAAGUGAAAAGCUCUUUUUGGCACAUAAACCCACAGAAAUGUGAGAACAUGCCAGCUGAAGUGGGACAUGGGCCGAUUCAAAAUAUUCUUUUAUUAUAUCAUUUUCUGUUGAUGUUGUAGUCAAACCUGGUGCCACCUCCAACAGUUUCCUCUCAGGUGAUCACUGGCUGAUUCGGCAGUGGUGGUGGAUUUGGUUCGUGUUUUUUCUGCGUGCCAUGCCCUGACGUACUCCACGCUCAUGUUCAGUACUUUUAUGGUUCAGUGUUGGGGAGCAACAUUGUGAAUGUAAAUAAACA